rnacentral:rRNA from 1 species
GACGAAGGUGGCGAGCGUUGUUCGGAAUCACUGGGCAUAAAGCGCACGUAGGCGGUGCCGUACGUCAGAUGUGAAAUCCCUCGGCCUAACCGAGGAACUGCGUCUGAUACUGCGGUGCUUGAGGAUCAGAGGGGUGCAUGGAAUUUCCGGUGGAGCGGUGAAAUGCGUUGAUAUCGGAAGGAACUCCGGCGGCGAAAGCGAUGCACUGGCUGAUUUCUGACGCUGAGGUGCGAAAGCCAGGGGAGCAAACGGG